rnacentral:rRNA from 1 species
AUACGGAGGAUCCGAGCGUUAUCCGGAUUUAUUGGGUUUAAAGGGAGCGUAGGUGGAUAGUUAAGUCAGCUGUGAAAGUUUGGGGCUCAACCUUAAAAUUGCAGUUGAUACUGGUUUCCUUGAGUACGGUACAGGUGGGCGGAAUUCGUGGUGUAGCGGUGAAAUGCUUAGAUAUCACGAAGAACUCCGAUCGCGAAGGCAGCUCACCGGGCCGGAACUGACACUGAUGCUCGAAAGUGCGGGUAUCAAACAGGAUUAGAUACCCUGGUAGUCCGCACAGUAAACGAUGAAUACUCGCUGUUUGCGAUACACGGUAAGCGGCCAAGCGAAAGCGUUAAGUAUUCCACCUGGGGAGUACGCCGGCAACGGUGAAACUCAAAUGAAUUGACGGGG